AGCGUACACGGUGGAUGCCCUGGCAGUCAGAGGCGAUGAAGGACGUGCUAAUCUGCGAAAAGCGUCGGUAAGGUGAUAUGAACCGUUAUAACCGGCGAUGUCCGAAUGGGGAAACCCAGUGCAAUUCGUUGCACUAUCGUUAACUGAAUACAUAGGUUAACGAGGCGAACCGGGGGAACUGAAACAUCUAAGUACCCCGAGGAAAAGAAAUCAACCGAGAUUCCCCCAGUAGCGGCGAGCGAACGGGGAGCAGCCCAGAGUCUGAAUCAGCUUGUGUGUUAGUGGAACGGUCUGGAAAGUCCGACGGUACAGGGUGAUAGUCCCGUACACCAAAAUGCACAGGCUGUGAACUCGAAGAGUAGGGCGGGACACGUGGUAUCCUGUCUGAAUAUGGGGGGACCAUCCUCCAAGGCUAAAUACUCCUGACUGACCGAUAGUGAACCAGUACCGUGAGGGAAAGGCGAAAAGAACCCCGGCGAGGGGAGUGAAAAAGAACCUGAAACCGUGUACGUACAAGCAGUGGGAGCACCUUCGGGUGUGACUGCGUACCUUUUGUAUAAUGGGUCAGCGACUUAUAUUCUGUAGCAAGGUUAACCGUAUAGGGGAGCCGCAGGGAAACCGAGUCUUAACUGGGCGUUAAGUUGCAGGGUAUAGACCCGAAACCCGGUGAUCUAGCCAUGGGCAGGUUGAAGGUUGGGUAACACUAACUGGAGGACCGAACCGACUAAUGUUGAAAAAUUAGCGGAUGACUUGUGGCUGGGGGUGAAAGGCCAAUCAAACCGGGAGAUAGCUGGUUCUCCCCGAAAGCUAUUUAGGUAGCGCCUCGUGAAUUCAUCUUCGGGGGUAGAGCACUGUUUCGGCUAGGGGGUCAUCCCGACUUACCAACCCGAUGCAAACUACGAAUACCGAAGAAUGUUAUCACGGGAGACACACGGCGGGUGCUAACGUCCGUCGUGAAGAGGGAAACAACCCAGACCGCCAGCUAAGGUCCCAAAGUCAUGGUUAAGUGGGAAACGAUGUGGGAAGGCACAGACAGCCAGGAUGUUGGCUUAGAAGCAGCCAUCAUUUAAAGAAAGCGUAAUAGCUCACUGGUCGAGUCGGCCUGCGCGGAAGAUGUAACGGGGCUAAACCAUGCACCGAAGCUGCGGCAGCGACACUAUGUGUUGUUGGGUAGGGGAGCGUUCUGUAAGCCUGCGAAGGUGACCUGUGAGGGUUGCUGGAGGUAUCAGAAGUGCGAAUGCUGACAUAAGUAACGAUAAAGCGGGUGAAAAGCCCGCUCGCCGGAAGACCAAGGGUUCCUGUCCAACGUUAAUCGGGGCAGGGUGAGUCGACCCCUAAGGCGAGGCCGAAAGGCGUAGUCGAUGGGAAACAGGUUAAUAUUCCUGUACUUGGUGUUACUGCGAAGGGGGGACGGAGAAGGCUAUGUUAGCCGGGCGACGGUUGUCCCGGUUUAAGCAUGUAGGCUGGUUGUCCAGGCAAAUCCGGAUAAUCAAGGCUGAGGUGUGAUGACGAGGUACUACGGUGCUGAAGUAACAAAUGCCCUGCUUCCAGGAAAAGCCUCUAAGCAUCAGGUAACAUCAAAUCGUACCCCAAACCGACACAGGUGGUCAGGUAGAGAAUACCAAGGCGCUUGAGAGAACUCGGGUGAAGGAACUAGGCAAAAUGGUGCCGUAACUUCGGGAGAAGGCACGCUGGUGUGUAGGUGAAGUCCCUGCGGAUGGAGCUGAGACCAGUCGAAGAUACCAGCUGGCUGCAACUGUUUAUUAAAAACACAGCACUGUGCAAACACGAAAGUGGACGUAUACGGUGUGACGCCUGCCCGGUGCCGGAAGGUUAAUUGAUGGGGUUAUCCGUAAGGAGAAGCUCUUGAUCGAAGCCCCGGUAAACGGCGGCCGUAACUAUAACGGUCCUAAGGUAGCGAAAUUCCUUGUCGGGUAAGUUCCGACCUGCACGAAUGGCGUAAUGAUGGCCAGGCUGUCUCCACCCGAGACUCAGUGAAAUUGAACUCGCUGUGAAGAUGCAGUGUACCCGCGGCAAGACGGAAAGACCCCGUGAACCUUUACUAUAGCUUGACACUGAACAUUGAGCCUUGAUGUGUAGGAUAGGUGGGAGGCUUUGAAGCGUGGACGCCAGUCUGCGUGGAGCCAACCUUGAAAUACCACCCUUUAAUGUUUGAUGUUCUAACGUUGGCCCCUGACCGGGGUUGCGGACAGUGUCUGGUGGGUAGUUUGACUGGGGCGGUCUCCUCCCAAAGCGUAACGGAGGAGCACGAAGGUUAGCUAAUCCUGGUCGGACAUCAGGAGGUUAGUGCAAUGGCAUAAGCUAGCUUGACUGCGAGCGUGACGGCGCGAGCAGGUGCGAAAGCAGGUCAUAGUGAUCCGGUGGUUCUGAAUGGAAGGGCCAUCGCUCAACGGAUAAAAGGUACUCCGGGGAUAACAGGCUGAUACCGCCCAAGAGUUCAUAUCGACGGCGGUGUUUGGCACCUCGAUGUCGGCUCAUCACAUCCUGGGGCUGAAGUAGGUCCCAAGGGUAUGGCUGUUCGCCAUUUAAAGUGGUACGCGAGCUGGGUUUAGAACGUCGUGAGACAGUUCGGUCCCUAUCUGCCGUGGGCGCUGGAGAAUUGAGGGGGGCUGCUCCUAGUACGAGAGGACCGGAGUGGACGCAUCACUGGUGUUCGGGUUGUCAUGCCAAUGGCACUGCCCGGUAGCUAAAUGCGGAAGAGAUAAGUGCUGAAAGCAUCUAAGCACGAAACUUGCCCCGAGAUGAGUUCU
rnacentral:rRNA from 1 species